rnacentral:sRNA from 1 species
CACCGCCUGGGGAGUACGACCGCAAGGUUAAAACUCAAAUGAAUUGACGGGGACCCGCACAAGUAGUGGAGCAUGUGGUUUAAUUCGAAGAUACGCGCAGAACCUUACCAACACUUGACAUGUUCGUCGCGACUCUAAGAGAUUAGAGUUUUCGGUUCGGCCGGACGAAACACAGGUGCUGCAUGGCUGUCGUCAGCUCGUGUCGUGAGAUGUUGGGUUAAGUCCCGCAACGAGCGCAACCCUCACUUUUAGUUGCCAUCAUUAAGUUGGGCACUCUGAAAGAACUGCCAGUGAUAAGCUGGAGGAAGGUGGGGAUGACGUCAAGUCCUCAUGGCCCUUACGUGUUGGGCUACACACGUGCUACAAUGGUAUCUACAACAGGAAGCAAAACUGCGAGGUUAAGCAAAUCCUUAAAAGAUACCUCAGUUCGGAUUGCACUCUGCAACUCGAGUGCAUGAAGCUGGAAUUACUAGUAAUCGUGGAUCAGCGUGCCACGGUGAAUGCGUUCCCGGGUCUUGUACACACCGCCCGUCACACCAUGGGAGUUGGUUCUACCUUAAGGCAAGGUUUAAAACCCUUGACCACGGUAUAGUCAGCGACUGGGGUGAAGUCGUAACAAGGUAGCCGUAGGGGAACCUGCGGCUGGAUUACCUCCUUUCUAAGGAUGAAUAAAAUUAAAAUUUUAUUCUAAAAAAUAUACAGGUAAUGUUGACCGUCCUCAUUUCUCUUCUUAAAGCAGUGUUUCUCUUGCAUGGGGGCCGGUAGCUCAGUUGGUUAGAGCACACCCUUGAUAAGGGUGGGGUCGAAAGUUCGAGUCUUUCUCGGCCCACCAAUUAAGACUAUGGGGGAUUAGCUCAGCUGGGAGAGCGCCUGAUUUGCAUUCAGGAGGUCAGCGGUUCGAUCCCGCUAUCCUCCACCAGAAACACUUAGUUAUAAAAAUUGUGAAUAUAAUAAUAAUUAAUAUCAAUAUCUAUAUCCGAACAUUAGUAAUGUUAUUAGCUAAUGUUCAAAUAAAAAUUUGAUUCAACACAGAAUUUUUUUCUG